rnacentral:rRNA from 1 species
UCGGCGUGGAUUAGGCAUGCAAGUCGAACGAGAACCCGCGGGUUCAAUCUUUCGGGAAAGAAGCCGCGGGGGAAAGUGGCGGAAGGGUGAGUAUCGCGUGAGUGACCUGUCCCUGAGUUGGGGGUAGCUCGGCGAAAGCCGGGAUAAUACCGAAUGUGAUCGUCUGCUGAACCGGACUAAUCAAAGGUGGGGACCCUUCGGGGCCUGCCGCUCGGGGAGGGGCUCGCGUCCUAUCAGCUUGUUGGUGAGGUAACGGCUCACCAAGGCAACGACGGGUAGCUGGCUUGAGAGGGUGGUCAGCCACACUGGGACUGAGACACUGCCCAGACUCCUACGGGAGGCUGCAGUCGAGGAUCAUUCGCAAUGCCCGAAAGG